ACCCGCACAAGCGGUGGAUGAUGUGGAUUAAUCGAUGCAACGCGAAAACCUUACCUACCCUUGACAUGUCCGGAAUCCCGAAGAGAUUUGGGAGUGCUCGCAAGAGAGCCGGAACACAGGUGCUGCAUGGCUGUCGUCAGCUCGUGUCGUGAGAUGUUGGGUUAAGUCCCGCAACGAGCGCAACCCUUGUCAUUAGUUGCCAUCAUUUGGUUGGGCACUCUAAUGAGACUGCCGGUGACAAAACCCGGAGGAAAGGUGGGGAUGACGUCAAGUCCUCAUGGCCCUUAUGGGUAGGGCUUCACACGUCAUACAAUGGUCGGUACAGAGGGUUGCCAACCCGCGAGGGGGAGCUAAUCCCACAAAGCCGAUCGUAGUCCGGAUCGCAGUCUGCAACUCGACUGCGUGAAGUCGGAAUCGCUAGUAAUCGUGGAUCAGCAUGUCACGGUGAAUACGUUCCCGGGUCUU
rnacentral:rRNA from 1 species